UGCCCUGGCAAUCUACCUUUAAUAGGAGUAAAUUACUCUUUGAAAAAAUGAAUCCUAGUUAGUUUUCCCUUUAAAUCAAGCAUCUUGU
rnacentral:pre_miRNA from 1 species